GACGAACGCUGGCGGCGUGCUUAACACAUGCAAGUCGAACGGAAAGGCCCUGCUUUUGUGGGGUGCUCGAGUGGCGAACGGGUGAGUAACACGUGAGUAACCUGCCCUUGACUUUGGGAUAACUUCAGGAAACUGGGGCUAAUACCGGAUAGGAGCUCCUGCUGCAUGGUGGGGGUUGGAAAGUUUCGGCGGGUGGGGAUGGACUCGCGGGUUAUCAGCUUGUUGGUGGGGUAGUGGCUUACCAAGGCUUUGACGGGUAGCCGGCCUGAGAGGGUGACCGGCCACAUGGGGACUGAGAUACGGCCCAGACGCGUACGGGAGGCAGCAGUGGGGAAUAUGGCACAAUGGGCGGAAGCCUGAUGCAGAAACGCUGCGUGUGGGAUGACGGCCUGCGGGUUGUGAACCGCUUUCGCCUGUGACGAAGCGGGAGUGACGGUAAUGGGUAAAGAAGCACCGGCUAACUACGUG
rnacentral:rRNA from 1 species